GCAUUGCUCCCCUUCUCUAUUUAACCCUUUGAGUUCCGCAGGAGGUUUAAAUGGGUGCCGGAAAGUCUUGAAGGGAGGAGAACUAGAGGUGGGUAGGAUACAGAAAUUGGAAACCAUUUGUAUCUCCCUCUGCUGGAGGCAAAAAAUUGGAUAGAGACAGCUACAGGAAUGGUAUUAUGAAUAGAAAGGUGUUUGGGAAUCCACAAGAUUCCCUGGAUCCAUUUGGAGUUGCACUACAGGACAGA